GGACAACCUGCCCUGAGGACUGGAAUAAUCCCGGGGAAACUGGGGGGUAAUUCCAGAUAUGUCAGAACUCCUGGAAUGGGUUCUGGCAGAAAUGCUCCGGCGCCUCAGGAUGGGUCUGCGGCCUAUCAGGGUAGUAGUGGGUGUAACGUACCCACUAGCCUACGACGGGUACGGGUUGUGAGAGCAAGAGCCCGGAGAUGGAUUCUGAGACAUGAAUCCAGGCCCUACGGGGUGCAGCAGGCGCGAAAACUUUACAAUGCGGGCAACCGCGAUAAGGGGACCUCGAGUGCUGGGUUACAAACCUGGCUGUUGGGCUGCCUAAAAAGCAGUCUAUAGCAAGGGCCGGGCAAGACCGGUGCCAGCCGCCGCGGUAACACCGGCGGCUCGAGUGGUAACCGCUGUUAUUGGGUCUAAAGGGUCUGUAGCCUGCCGGCUAAGUCUCUUGGGAAAUCUGGCAUCUCAAGUGUCAGGCUGCCAGGGGAUACUGGUCAGCUUGGGACCGGGAGAGGUGAGAGGUACCUCAGGGGUAGGGGUGAAAUCUUGUAAUCCUUGAGGGACCACCAGUGGCGAAGGCGUCUCACCAGAACGGAUCCGACGGCAAGGGACGAAAGCUAGGGGCACGAACCGGAUUAGAUACCCGGGUAGUCCUAGCCGUAAACGAUACUCGCUAGGUGUCGGCCACGGUGCGACCGUGGUCGGUGCCGUAGGGAAGCCGUGAAGCGAGCCACCUGGGAAGUACGGCCGCAAGGCUGAAACU
rnacentral:rRNA from 1 species